GACGAACGCUGGCGGCGUGCUUAACACAUGCAAGUCGAACGGAAAGGCCCUGCUUUUGUGGGGUGCUCGAGUGGCGAACGGGUGAGUAACACGUGAGUAACCUGCCCUUGACUUUGGGAUAACUUCAGGAAACUGGGGCUAAUACCGGAUAGGAGCUCCUGCUGCAUGGUGGGGGUUGGAAAGUUUCGGCGGUUGGGGAUGGACUCGCGGCUUAUCAGCUUGUUGGUGGGGUAGUGGCUUACCAAGGCUUUGACGGGUAGCCGGCCUGAGAGGGUGACCGGCCACAUUGGGACUGAGAUACGGCCCAGACUCCUACGGGAGGCAGCAGUGGGGAAUAUUGCACAAUGGGCGGAAGCCUGAUGCAGCAACGCCGCGUGCGGGAUGACGGCCUUCGGGUUGUAAACCGCUUUCGCCUGUGACGAAGCGUGAGUGACGGUAAUGGGUAAAGAAGCACCGGCUAACUACGUGCCAGCAGCCGCGGUGAUACGUAGGGUGCGAGCGUUGUCCGGAUUUAUUGGGCGUAAAGGGCUCGUAGGUGGUUGAUCGCGUCGGAAGUGUAAUCUUGGGGCUUAACCCUGAGCGUGCUUUCGAUACGGGUUGACUUGAGGAAGGUAGGGGAGAAUGGAAUUCCUGGUGGAGCGGUGGAAUGCGCAGAUAUCAGGAGGAACACCAGUGGCGAAGGCGGUUCUCUGGGCCUUUCCUGACGCUGAGGAGCGAAAGCGUGGGGAGCGAACAGGCUUAGAUACCCUGGUAGUCCACGCUGUAAACGGUGGGUACUAGGUGUGGGGUCCAUUCCACGGGUUCCGUGCCGUAGCUAACGCUUUAAGUACCCCGCCUGGGGAGUACGGCCGCAAGGCCAAAACUCAAAGGAAUUGACGGGGCCCCGCACAAGCGGCGGAGCAUGCGGAUUAAUUCGAUGCAACGCGUAGAACCUUACCUGGGUUUGACAUGGAUCGGGAGCGCUCAGAGAUGGGUGUGCCUCUUUUGGGGUCGGUUCACAGGUGGUGCAUGGCUGUCGUCAGCUCGUGUCGUGAGAUGUUGGGUUAAGUCCCGCAACGAGCGCAACCCUUGUUCACUGUUGCCAGCACGUUAUGGUGGGGACUCAGUGGAGACCGCCGGGGUCAACUCGGAGGAAGGUGGGGAUGACGUCAAGUCAUCAUGCCCCUUAUGUCCAGGGCUUCACGCAUGCUACAAUGGCUGGUACAGAGAGUGGCGAGCCUGUGAGGGUGAGCGAAUCUCGGAAAGCCGGUCUCAGUUCGGAUUGGGGUCUGCAACUCGACCUCAUGAAGUCGGAGUCGCUAGUAAUCGCAGAUCAGCAACGCUGCGGUGAAUACGUUCCCGGG
rnacentral:rRNA from 1 species